CUAGUCUCUACUCAUUUGUGAAGAGAGAAAUAAUUUUUAAGUGAAGAAAAGAAAAGAAAAGACUGUCUUUCUUCUUUUCUUGGAUUGGGCGGAGGCAACAAAAUACAACAAAUGGGUGGAGGUUGAAGAGGGAUUUUGUAUGGGAAUGUGGAGGAACUCCCGAGAGUCAAAAAUCUGGAAUCAGACAGGCAGCAUUAUAAUAUUUCGUCUCAUAAUAAUAGUGUCCUUGUUGCUCCGAUGAUGAUUUGAUGGUGUAGCUUGGUGCGAUGGUGGUGGUGGUGGAGCCUCUGAUGCACACCUCAAAAGACGCUUCAAACUGACAGGAAAAACUGGAUUGUAGUAGCAUCUCUUGUAAUAUCUGUUAAAAAUUUCAGAUGACUAUUUGAAAACUGCAACAGCCUCUUAGAAGUAUACGCCUUAAAUGGAUCGGCCAAGCCUGAAUCUAGAAAAUGAAGCUGAACUUGAUGGAAAUUCUGAGAGAUUGAGAUUUAUAUCUCCAAGAAAUGCAAAUUGUGUUAUAAAUCACACUUUUAAAAAGCAAGAACAAACAGCCGAUUUGUUACAAUGCCUAAAACAAGACAAUUCUACAGAAAGAGAAUAACACUUUCUUUCUUUUUUUCUCUUCUCAAUUUGAUUUUAAAGCUUAUCUUUCAAACAUCAGUUAAAAAGAGUUGAGACCACCCGACCCAUUAUUAGCUCACUUUACUUCAAUAAUUUCUUGAUCAAUUUUGCUGAUCCCUUCAGCAGAAUGUCCUUGCUUUUCACCGUCGACGGAACACUCAUGCACCACAUCUGGCAAAUUGUUCUCUGGUGAGAUAUGUAUUGAUUCAACUUCACGAGCUGAAGUGGUCUUGGUUUGUUCUUUAUCGGACUCACCCGAAUCUGAAACUACGUUGACAGGAUCAGUAGGCGGAGUUGGUUCUGAGGUUGGUUGUUGUUGUGCUGUGACAGGGGAGAUCUCUGUUGACCAAAAUGCAGGCAUCUUCUUUUCUUCUUCUUUCAUUCUCUCAGAGUACUCACUAAUAUUGAAACACACUUGUUUGUUUCCUCCAAAUGAGGACUCAAGAUCAUCCAUGUCGAAUAGGUCCUCCAUUAUCUUCUUUCUAUUGGGGUCGUCAGAGUAUACAAACUUCACCUUUUUCUGAGUCUUGGGCUCUAGAAAGGGUUUCACAAUCUACAAAAAAAAAAAAGAUUUCUAUUAUGCUUCCAAAUACACAAACUUCAUUUUUCAUGUAAAUUUUAGGAUACUAUCAUAUAAUAAGAUCAUAAACAUUCA